rnacentral:rRNA from 1 species
GAUGAACGCUGGCGGCGUGCCUAAUACAUGCAAGUCGAGCGAACAGACGAGGAGCUUGCUCCUCUGACGUUAGCGGCGGACGUGUGAGUAACACGUGGAUAACCUACCUAUAAGACUGGGAUAACUUCGGGAAACCGGAGCUAAUACCGGAUAAUAUAUUGAACCUCAUGGUUCAAUAGUGAAAGACGGUUUUGCUGUCACUUAUAGAUGGAUCCGCGCCGCAUUAGCUAGUUGGUAAGGUAACGGCUUACCAAGGCAACGAUGCGUAUCCGACCUGAUAGGGUGGUCGGCCAUACUGUAAAUGAGACCAGGAACAGUCUCCUACGGGAGGCACCAGUAGGGAAUCUUCCGGAAUGGGCGAAAGCCUGAAGGAGCAACGCCGCGUGAGUGAUGAAGGUCUUCGAUGCGUAAAACUCUGUUAUUGGGGAAGAACAAAUGUGUAAGUACCUAUGCACGUCUUGAGGGUACCUAAUCAGAAAGCCACGGCUAACUACGUG